CCUACGGGUGGCAGCAGUGAGGAAUAUUGGUCAAUGGGCGGAAGCCUGAACCAGCCAAGUAGCGUGCAGGAUGACGGCCCUACGGGUUGUAAACUGCUUUUAUACGGGAAUAACGCGCCUUACGUGUAGGGAUUUGCAUGUACCGUAUGAAGAAGGACCGGCUAAUUCCGUGCCAGCAGCCGCGGUAAUACGGAAGGUCCGGGCGUUAGCCGGAUUUAUUGGGGUUAAAGGGAGCGUAGGCCGUGUGUCAAGCGUGCUGUGAAAUUUCCGGGCUCAACCCGGGCCUUGCAGCGCGAACUGGCGUGCUUGAGUCCGCGGAAAGCAGGCGGAAUUCGUCGUGUAGCGGUGAAAUGCUUAGAUAUGACGAAGAACCCCGAUUGCGAAGGCAGCUUGCUGCAGCGGAACUGACGCUGAUGCUCGAAAGCGCGGGUAUCGAACAGGAUUAGAUACCCCUGUAGUC
rnacentral:rRNA from 1 species